rnacentral:rRNA from 1 species
UUUAGAGAUAAAGCGGAGGUAUUCGGGGAGGACAGGUGGUGCAUGGUUGUCGUCAGCUCGUGUCGUGAGAUGUGGGUUAAGUCCCGCAACGAGCGCAACCCUAUUGCUAGUUACCAUCAUUAAGUUGGGGACUCUAGCGAGACUGCCAGUGAUAAACUGGAGGAAGGUGGGGAUGACGUCAAAUCAUCAUGCCCCUUAUGACCUGGGCUACAAACGUGAUACAAUGGCUGGAACAAAGGGAUGCGAAGCAGUGAUGUGGAGCGAAACCCAUAAAAACAGUCUCAGUUCGGAUUGAAGUCUGCAACUCGACUUCAUGAAGUCGGAAUCGCUAGUAAUCGCGGAUCAGAACGCCGCGGUGAAUACGUUCUCGGGGUUU